GAUGAAGAACGCAGCGAAAUGCGAUACGUAAUGUGAAUUGCAGAAUCCAGUGAAUCAUCGAAUCUUUGAACGCAUAUUGCGCUCUCUGGUAUUCCGGAGAGCAUGCUUGUUUGAGUAUCAGUAAACACCUCAACUUCCAUAUCUUUUUUGAAAUGGGAGUUGGACUUGAGUGAUCCCAACGCUUUUCCUCACCGAAAAGUGGCGGGUUACUUGAAAUGCAGGUGCAGCUGGACUUUUCUCUGAGCUAUAAGCAUAUCUAUUUAGUCUGCCUAAAAAACAGAUUAUUACCUUUGCUGCAGCUAACAUAAAGGAGAUUAGUUCUUGUGCUGACUGAUGCAGGAUUCACAAAGACAGGCUUCGGCCGACUUUGUAAACUCGAUCUCAAAUCAAGUAAGACUACCCGCUGAACUUAAGCAUAUCAAUAAGCGGAGGA
rnacentral:misc_RNA from 1 species